rnacentral:lncRNA from 1 species
CCGGAACCGCUUUUGUGGUCUCCGAGACACUCAUUUGCUGUCCUGGUUUCCAAAGCUCCACGUGCUCAGCGCCGAAAACUUGCAAAUCAUUUGCUGUCUAUACUGGGCGCCCGCUGCGUGCCAGGUACUGCCACCGGCUCUCUCCUCACGGUGGAAUAACUUAACAGAGAAGACAGACAUCAAUCAAAUACCCUGGAAACGUGGAAGGCAGGGGAAAGAACAAAGGGAGAGCAAAAUCGCCCCAAUCCCACAUCACCCGCGACGUGAAAGGAUUUGUCCUUCCAGCUGCGGGACUCCUAUUUGUUUCUUUCAAGUCAGAGGCCUUCCCUUUAUGCCCACAUCUGUUCCCGACCCUCUCCUCUGAUUUUCCUCACAUGUAUUUCCUCCCCUCUUCAGCCCCGCGCCAGCUCCAGGCACAGCCGUUCAGGGUGAUGCCAAAGGGAAAUGAGAACGCCUGGUUUCGAGUGCCAGCCUGAGGCCCCUUAAGCCCUAGGUACGCAGCUCUCUCUUCUUUCUUAAACUUUCCAGCCCAGGAAAAUCACCCUUCGGUUUUACAGAUGCGAUAGGGCGUUAUUGUGAUUCCUUCAUUCACGUAAACAUGAAUUGAGUGUCUAGUGGG